AACGAACGCUGGCGGCAUGCCUAACACAUGCAAGUCGAACGAGACCUUCGGGUCUAGUGGCGCACGGGUGCGUAACGCGUGGGAACCUGCCCUUAGGUUCGGAAUAACUCCCCGAAAGGGGUGCUAAUACCGGAUAAUGUCUUCGGACCAAAGAUUUAUCGCCUUUGGAUGGGCCCGCGUUGGAUUAGCUAGUUGGUAGGGUAAAAGCCUACCAAGGCGACGAUCCAUAGCUGGUCUGAGAGGAUGAUCAGCCACACUGGGACUGAGACACGGCCCAGACUCCUACGGGAGGCAGCAGUGGGGAAUAUUGGACAAGGGGCGAAAGCCUGAUCCAGCAAUGCCGCGUGAGGGAUGAAGGCCUUAGGGUUGUAAAGCUCUUUUACCCGGGAUGAUAAUGACAGUACCGGGAGAAUAAGCUCCGGCUAACUCCG
rnacentral:rRNA from 1 species